rnacentral:rRNA from 1 species
AACGAACGCUGGCGGCAUGCCUAACACAUGCAAGUCGAACGAGACCUUCGGGUCUAGUGGCGCACGGGUGCGUAACGCGUGGGAACCUGCCCUUAGGUUCGGAAUAACUCCCCGAAAGGGGUGCUAAUACCGGAUAAUGUCUUCGGACCAAAGAUUUAUCGCCUUUGGAUGGGCCCGCGUUGGAUUAGCUAGUUGGUAGGGUAAAAGCCUACCAAGGCGACGAUCCAUAGCUGGUCUGAGAGGAUGAUCAGCCACACUGGGACUGAGACACGGCCCAGACUCCUACGGGAGGCAGCAGUGGGGAAGAUUGGACAAUGGGCGAAAGCCUGAUCCAGCAAUGCCGCGUGAGUGAUGAAGGCCUUAGGGUUGUAAAGCUCUUUUACCCGGGAUGAUAAUGACAGUACCGGGAGAAUAAACUCCGGCUAACUCCGG